ensembl:lncRNA
CUGGUGGAUUGCGGAAGUAUAUGUACUACUGACUGUUCCUGGGGGCUUGGGUUAGCCAGAUUGUAGCGCAUAUCUAAAUAGCGAGCUUAGUAAACUUAUAGCAUCUCGUUGCUUAAAUUAAAGAAAUCCACGGGAACCCUCCCUUGAGAUACCAGAAACAUGCCAACCAAGUGGUUCUGAUCUGCAGCGGUGAAGUUGUGCGGCGUUGAGGAGUUUUGCGGCGGUGAGGAGUUGUGUAUCAUGCAUCAGAGUAAAGGAGCUGUCAGGGUCCAGGAGGUGAUCGGUGCUCUGUGCAGGAUGCUGACAGCUACUGGCCUGGACUCCGUCCCCACACCAGAGGUCUUUAGAAGGGCUAAAUUCAACUGUGGACCUGAGGUGGAGGAUCCAUUGUGGAAAUUGCUCGCCAGUGUUCUUAAAACAUGUAACAUAAUUUCUGUUGAAGCCCCAGAGUUGCCAGAGAUGGCCUCUGACCACAGGAGGCUGGUGGCCGUCGGUCUGUGGCAGAGUGGCUACCAUGUCGACUGGAUCAGAUGUGUUGGAGAGCAGGGGGGGGAGUUUGUCCGCUGCAGUAGGGAGCUGCUCCUGGCCCUGGGCUGGCUGUUGGCGACAGGCGCCGUGGAGACCUUGCUGGCCCACAGAGCGAAGCAGCUUGACUCCACGCGGCGGGACCCUGCAGUGAUGACUCCUCCCACUGUGGGGGAGGCCCAGAUGGACCGCCCCUCUCUGAGGAAGCUUCAGUGGCUGUUUGGCUCUUUGAGGUCCCAGAGGCGGAGCCUUCUAUCAAUGCAGGAAGAGCAGAGCAAGCUCGUGACCAUGGAGUGUGUCCGUAUGCAGGACCUGAGCCAACUCCUGAAGUCAUACACCGACUGGAAACACACAGAGAAGCUGUUCUGGGUGUGGAUGGACAGCGUGGUGGAGGGCCAUGCGACAGACCAGAGGGUGGCGUGUCCGCUGGAUUCAGACGCUAAUGCCUCGGCCAAUAGGAGCAGAGCUGUCUGUCCCCAUGGUGACUGGGGCCUUGAGUGCCUCAACGACAUGCUGUUGGGACUUCCGACAGUGCAGAGAAAGAGAGGACAGCGAGGAGAGGAGAAGGAGCCAGGAGGACGUCGUCGGGGACAGGAGAGCGAUGACAGACCACCAGCGGAGCGCGACGGCGGGACAGCCCCCCCCCUGCCCCCCUGCCUCUCUCCUUCAGCACAGGGGUACAGGCUCAGGCUCCAGGGGGAGGCUGGGGACCCUGGGGCCCUGAGGGCCUCUGAGAGACGCCGGCUGCUGAUGCUGACAGAGUCCUCCUUACUGGAGGGGAGGGAGAGAUGCCAACGGGCCAAUAGGAUGCAGUUCCAGGAGAUGAUUGGCAGGCUAGAGGAUAUGGUGUUGAUAGCACCUUAAGUGAUUUCAAGUCUACUGAAUAAAAAAAACAAUACUGUGUGUGUGUGUGUGUGUGUGUAUGACACUUAUUGGCUCUUAUAUUCAUACCAAUCAUCUUUUAAAUCCACUCAAAUCGAUUAUCAUUAAAUCAUUUUAAUAAUUGCUACAAAGGAACACCGUUAGGAUACAGCAAUACAAAAAAAAAUCUGAAAUGACAGUGAUUUCUAAAUGAAAAUAAAUAAAUUACAAUGUGCAGGUGUAGUUAAUAUAGAUUUGCCCUGAGUUGAAUUACAUUUUGUUGUGUGGUAAUUGUUGUGCCUUAAUGAGAUGUCUUUUAAGGGCCUGCAUCACAGGACAUGUGUCACCUGGUGCACUGUCAUGUAAAAUAUUGAUGCAAUGCCGGACCUUGAAUUUCCUCAUGAAAUUUAAAUUUUAACGUCUUCCUUUGUUCUAAAUGACAACAUUGUCAUUGAUUUGGUCCAGCUGGUUCCCUGACAACAUUGGGUAAAACCAGGGUCAAACCCGC